GUUCUCCUCAAACCACUUCAGUU
rnacentral:miRNA from 1 species